CCUACGGGCUGCUGCAGUGGGGAAUAUUGGACAAUGGGCGAAAGCCUGAUCCAGCCAUGCCGCGUGUGUGAAGAAGGCCUUCGGGUUGUAAAGCACUUUCAGUGGGGAAGAAAGCCUUGGGGCUAAUACCCUCGAGGAAGGACAUCACCCACAGAAGAAGCACCGGCUAACUCCGUGCCAGCAGCCGCGGUAAUACGGAGGGUGCGAGCGUUAAUCGGAAUUACUGGGCGUAAAGCGCGCGUAGGCGGUCUGAUAAGCCGGUUGUGAAAGCCCCGGGCUCAACCUGGGAACGGCAUCCGGAACUGUCAGGCUAGAGUGCAGGAGAGGAAGGUAGAAUUCCCGGUGUAGCGGUGAAAUGCGUAGAGAUCGGGAGGAAUACCAGUGGCGAAGGCGGCCUUCUGGACUGACACUGACGCUGAGGUGCGAAAGCGUGGGUAGCAAACAGGAUUAGAUACCCCGGUAGUC
rnacentral:rRNA from 1 species